rnacentral:tRNA from 1 species
GGAUUGUGGCUCAGAGGUAGAGCACUUGCCUAGCAAGGAUGCGACCCGGGUUCAAUUCUCAGCACCA